GCCCGGUUAGCUCAGUCGGCAGAGCGCAAAGCUCUUAACCUUGUAGUCGUGGGUUCGAGCCCCAUUGGGCG
rnacentral:tRNA from 1 species